rnacentral:rRNA from 1 species
AAUUUUGGACAAUGUGCGUAAGCCUGAUCCAGCCUGGCCGCGUGAGGGAAUAAGGACUUCGGUCUGUAAAUCUCUUAUGGUAGGACAGAAAUCACGCAGUCCACUACGCUCAGCGGAUGUCAGUACCGACAUACGAACCACCGGACCACUACGCGCCCACAUCCGCGGUAAUACGUACGGUGCUCGCGUUAAUCGGAAUGACUGGGCGUAAAGCGUGCGCAGGCGGUUGAUUAAGACAGGCGUGAAAUCCCCGGGCUUAACCUGGGAACUGCGCUUGUGACUGGUCAGCUAGAGUACGGCAGAGGGGGGUAGAAUUCCACGUGUAGCAGUGAAAUGCGUAGAGAUGUGGAGGAACACCGAUGGCGAAGGCAGCCCCCUGGGCCGAUACUGACGCUCAUGCACGAAAGCGUGGGUAGCAAACAGG